rnacentral:lncRNA from 1 species
CCUCCCUCUCUCUCUCGUUCUCUUUCUCUCAUAAACAAAGCGCAAACCUGGAGUCUUAGCUAGGAUGACUACUUCAGCUAACUAGGAUGAUAGCUAGCUGCAAUUAAGCUUAAGUGCUCAGAAUUUCUUGCGACUUCGGAAAAGAUGGCAGUGCUGGUAAACAUUGUGGUUAUGUGUUCAGUUUCUUAAUUGUCGAUAAAAGCUUAAUUGAAGUGUAUGAUGAAGACCGAGGGUUGCAAAAAUGAUGC